AUACGGAGGGCGCAAGCGUUGCCCGGAAUCACUGGGUGUAAAGGGUGCGUAGGCGGGGCUGUACGUCAGAGGUGAAAGCCCUCGGCUCAACCGGGGAAUUGCCUCUGAUACUGCAGCUCUUGAGUCCCGGAGAGGCCGCUGGAAUUCCUGGUGUAGCGGUGAAAUGCGUAGAUAUCAGGAGGAACACCGGAGGCGAAGGCGGGCGGCUGGACGGGGACUGACGCUGAGGCACGAAAGCGAGGGGAGCGAACAGGAUUAGAAACCCCAGUAGUCC
rnacentral:rRNA from 1 species